rnacentral:rRNA from 1 species
GAGACUCUGUGCGCGCGCAUAUCAAUAAGCGGAGGAAAAGAAACUAACAAGGAUUCCCUUAGUAACGGCGAGUGAAGCGGGAAGAGCUCAAAUUUGAAAUCUUCAAGGUUUUACCUUGACGAAUUGUAGUUUAAAGAAGUGUUUUCUGUUGGAGUUUUGGUAAAAGUUCUCUGGAAUAGGACAUCAUAGAGGGUGAGAAUCCCGUAUUUGACCAUUAUUUCCAGCUGUGUGAUACACUUUCAAAGAGUCGGAUUGUUUGGGAAUGCAGUCCAAAAUGGGUGGUAAAUUUCAUCUAAAGCUAAAUAUUGGCGAGAGACCGAUAGCGAACAAGUACCGUGAGGGAAAGAUGAAAAGAACUUUGAAAAGAGAGUUAAACAGUACGUGAAAUUGUCAAAAGGGAAGCGUUUGACACCAGUGUUGUUUUCUCGAAAAUCAAUUAAAAAUGAUGGGAUUUUGUGUUGUAUUGACUUUAUCAGCUUUCUGCACUUUUUUCUUAUCUUUUUUAAUGCACUUUUCGUUUAACAAGUCAACAUCAAUUUCUUUUGUUGUAAAAGAGUCAUUGGAAGGUGGCUUUUUCUUCGGAAAAAGUGUUUAUAGCCUUUGGCUUCUGCAAUCGGAGAGAUUGAGGUCUGCAGCGUAGAUCCUUCGGGGUUAGAUACAUUUGUGCUAAGCUAUAGUUCUUUAUAGACAACUUGUUGACUAUAAUCAAUCCUGUAACUUACUCGCUUAUGCUAUUUUACCUACGCUUAGGAUGUUGACGAUCAGCUGAGCGCG